rnacentral:rRNA from 1 species
AUGUACAUAUUGGAGAGAUCUUUCCUAUCUUUCGAGAUGCAUCCAUUAGACCUAUUUGAAGAGGGUUCCAUUACUAAUAUGUCUACUUCGAUUGUCGGUAAGGUACUCGGUUUAAAAUCCCUACGUGCUCUACGGUCUAGAGUAUCAAUUUCCCCCUACUUAUUGAAAAACUUUCCAAGACAUGGUAUUAUUGUGAAUAGCCAUCAACUAUAUGGAAAAGUUAGAAGAAUGUGGCCUAUUCUGGGCCCUACAGUACAUUGCAUCCGUAUAAUGAUUCCCCUUUAA